AGUUUCUUGAUUCAGUUGUUGUUUCAGAGCGUUGAUUUCUUGUGCAGAAAACUCAUUUGAACAGAGGACGUUCUUUUGUUGAACUUGAGAAUUUCCAUCCGUUAAAGGGGACUGUGUCACUGCCGUGGCUAAUAUGAUCCAGGAACACAACAAAGGUAAAAACGCCAUCAUAGAAAAAGAAAUAAUUGUAAACACAGUGUAUCAAGCAGACAUCAAUGGCUGGGGCUCGCGUGACAACAACCUUUAGACCAGGCGUUGGGUGUCAGUCCAACCUUUUAAGAAUUACUGAGGACUGGAAGAGAGUACUUGAUGAAAAUAAAUACCAAAAGACCUUGGAACUUCUAAGACCAUGAACAACUAGGUAUGGUAAAAGGUCAUUCAGCUAUGCAGCCGCCAUACUGUGGAACUCCUUACCCAACCAUGUAAGGGAAAUAUCCUCCUUCAAUCAAUUUAAAACUUUCAUUGACGCUUGGAGGGGAAAAACUGCAAAUGCAGCUCCAGUCGAGUACACGAUGGGGAGGUGCAUGGCUGAAUAAAAACCUCAUUUUUCAAUAUAUCAUAUACUGUUUUUGUUAACUGUUUCCUUUUAUGCAAAUUUUGCAACGUUACAUCUGCAUCACUACCAAUGUUUGCUUUUUGUCGGUAGACGAGACAGGUAACUUCAAACAUUUUCCACUGCGUUAUUUUGCCAUCAAUUUUACAAACAGGAUUUUAAUCAUUUUUACCUCUAAAGUAAUGUAUACGCCUAAUGAAAAUAAUUAACUGUGUGAUACCUUUAA